rnacentral:lncRNA from 1 species
GGGUUUGGUUUUGGUUCUGGUUCUGGUAAGGCAUAUUUAUUGGAGAAAUAUAACACUUGACAUGUUCGUUUUGCAUAAUGAUUGGGAAGUUGUGAAACAUGGUUGGCAUACUCAGAGAUGAAGAACAUGCCUAGACAAGAAUAUGUAGCUCACUUGAGAUGGUAAUUUGGUGCUACUGAUGUGAAACUUUCUGGUGAACCAAAACUCCCCUUUUUUUUGCACCCUUUCUCAAUGGACAAAAGGUAGUUUCGGUUCUAUUUACAAGGGGAUGAUCUAUGAGCGAUCACUUGCAGCUGCCAAGACUCGCACAACUGUCGCUGUGGUUAACCAACAUCUUCAAAGUCACCCGGAAGAGUGGUUGCAAAGAAGCGGAAUAAAAGUACCGUCGACACCACAUCACAAAGGUCGGAUGAAGGUUCUUCAGGAAAACAGAAAGUGGACAACGUUUUUAUUGAUCAAGAAGCUUGCAGCAGCUUGAAUCAACAAUCUCUGAUUAGUGGCAGUACUUAUAUAAAAUAAUACUAACUCACAUAUAAUUUUUGUUUCAAAUGUUUUAUUCACGAUUAUGGCAGGUUGUGUUUAUGUGAAGUAUGAGACAAAAGAGUGUGGGGUCGUAGUGUUAAAUUCAUCGUCAUCAAUAGGGAACGUAGAGAAACUAAUAUGGUAUACAGCAAAUAUAAAUCAUACCAUGACAGAAAGUUGUUGGCAAGAUUCGUUUUAAUCAUAGAAGAAGCCCGAAGUAUGAUAAAAAGUGGAUUAUUUGUUUUUUUAAACAUCCAAAGAAUCGUGGUUUAAAUACUGUACAUCAAUUAGAGCUCUGGAAGUGGUGGUGUGAGCUCCAACAGAACCACUGUGAUGAUUUUCAAGUUGCGCUUACACCACAAGAAGGUCAACCAUUUAGCAGCCAGCUUUAGCCACUCCACAAUAUUGUUGGAUGGGUCAAACUUCAUUGCCAUAGUUUUCUCAACUGUUUGCAGCAGAGGACAGGUCAGUAUGCACCCUUCUCCGUCAUCGCAACCAAUUCCCAUGCCUUAUAUGCAGCCACCAAAGUUCUAGAACCGGAACUCUCGAGAGUACCACUUUUUUCUUCAUAUACAGUAAGGCCCUCUUUUUAUUGGUUCUUGUGCUUAAGUGGGUACCCUUGGAAUAUGUAUAAUAGUUUACAUGUGUUGGUUCAAUGCAUUGUCAUUCGAGCAGGGCGGACCCAUGGCGUUUGUGGGAAGUGCCAACGCACAAGGCCAAAAAAAGAAAAGUAUAUGUUUUUUAUAAAUAUAUUAGAUGCAACCUAAAUAUAUUAACAAUGGUUCAGCGCGUCUUUUUUACAUAUCACAUUUGAGAUCCAAGUUCGAAAUUUACCAACCAAAAUUGUUUUUCUUAUUAAAAUUGUGAACCAUGAAGCUUCCUUAAAGGUGAAGUAAAAAAUGAAGGCAUCAGGCCAAGAUGCAACAGCGUGAAGUUGUGAAGUGCAAGGUAGCCUAUAUGUUAUUUCUCUUACGUUUUAACUAUUUUUUAGUUAUUUUACUAUACAAUCUCUUAAAUGUUAAGUUUAAUUAAGUAAAAUAUUAAAUAUAGAAAUUUAGUUAAUCAUCAUCAAUAGGGAACGUAGAGAAACUAAUAUGGUAAGCAUCUUCAACUCAUGAAGUGUUUUGUUCAUAUGAUUUUAAGUAUACUACUAUAAGAUUCAAUAGUUUUUUAUCGAGGAAAUGACCUGCUUUGUCGGCUUUAAUUGAGAACUAAGGGGCAUGUCAAUUCGACUGAAGAUAUAUUCAUCUAUUAUUGUGCUACUGAACUGAUUGGUAAGUUAUUUAACCUAAGAACUCAUUAAUUAAAUCAUUUUUAAGCAUCAUAGUAUAAUUUAACUGAUUUAUGGGAAUAAUAGGUAGACACUAAUAAUCUCUAUAAGUUUCAGCUGGGGUGGAGUAUGAGGGUUAUAAUGGUGGUGCUGGUGGUGGUUAUGGCUAUACACCUCUUAUAGUGUCAUGACACCCUUGUGGAGCCCUCCCAACCAUUUCAAUGACUUCUGAUGUAAAUGACUUUCCAUUGGCUGGUCUUGAUGGUACUCAGAUAUAAUUUCCCUCAUGUGAGUGACCCCAUUGCCCACAGUUGAGCUAAACCCUCCAACCAUUUCAACACAGAUACAAUAUUGAUGUUUUGUAACUUUGUUUUUGCUUUGGGUAGAGGGGGUGUUUCGAUUUGUUUUUUGGAACUGAUCAUGGUGAUAAAAUCGUUGGUUUUAAUGUUUGGGGUUUUGGAACUGAUCAUGGUAAUACAAUCGUUGGUUUUUGCUUUAGUUGUUUUUACCCCUACUUACUAUUGCUUUCUCUGUUAUAAGAACAAUGAUGAAGCACUAAAGUUAAGUAGUCAAAUUAUUUUAUGAUCAAGUUGAAUUAGUGUGUAUGUGAAGAGGGAGCGAGUAAAAAAGUAGUAAAUUCAGUGUACAUCUUACUUGGAGCAUAGGGGUGCACAUGUAAAGAAAAGGAAGGAGACACCCAUGGAAAAAAAAGUGUUAUUUUACGGCAAAUUA